GACGAACGCUGGCGGCGUGCCUAAUACAUGCAAGUAGAACGAGUUGCGAACGGGUGAGUAAUGUCUGGGAAAAUGCCUGCAGGAGGGGGAUCACUACUGGAAACGGUAGCGAAUACCGCAUACCAUCAGAUGUGCCCAGAUGGUAUUAGCUUGUCGGUGGGGUAACGGCUCACCAGGGCGACGAUCCCUAGCUGGUCUGAGAGGAUGACCAGCCACACGGGAACUGAGACACGUUCCAGACUCCUACGGGAGGCAGCAGUGGGGAAUAUUGCGCAAUGGGCGAAAGCCUGAUGCAGCCAUGCCGCGUGUAUGAAGGAGGCCUUCGGGUUGUAAAGUACUUUCAGCGGGGAGUCGUUACCCGCAGAAGAAGCACCGGCUAACUCCGUGCCAGCAGCCGCGGUAAUAC
rnacentral:rRNA from 1 species